rnacentral:rRNA from 1 species
AUGGCGCUUGAGCGAGGGACCUAUACCCAGCCGUUGCUGGCUUGUGCGUUGUCUAGCGCCUGGCCGCAACGAGUAGGAGGGUCGUGGCGGUUGCGUCGAAGGCUUUGGGCGUAGGCCCAGCUGGAGCUUCCGUCAGUGCAGAUCUCGGUGGUAGUAGCAAAUAUUUAAGUUCGAUCCUUGAAGACUGAAGUGGAGAAGGGUUCCACGUGAACAGUAGUUGAAUGUGGGUCAGUCGAUCCUAAGAUACUGGCUUAUGCCUUGUAUCAUUGAGAGGGAAAAGUUUCUUUUCUCUCGGAUAUCAAAAGGGAAUAGGGUUAAUAUUCCCUAACGCAGACACAGAGAUUGCGGCUCUUUGAGUCGCUUGCGCGGUAACGCAUUCGAACUUGGUUACGUCGCUCAGAGACCGAGCUAGAGUUCUCUUCUCUAGUUAAGGAACGGACUCCCUGGAAUCGGUUCAGCCGUAGAUAGGGACGUUGUUUCCGUAAAGCAUCGCGGUUUCUGUGAUGUCUCGUGUUCUCUGGACGGCCCUUGAAAAACCAAGGAAGGCUAUUAAUCUGUGCUGCAUCGUACCGAUAUCCGCAUCAGGUCUCCAAGGU